rnacentral:rRNA from 1 species
GAUGAACGCUGGCGGCGUGCCUAAUACAUGCAAGUCGAGCGAACAGACGAGGAGCUUGCUCCUUUGACGUUAGCGGCGGACGGGUGAGUAACACGUGGAUAACCUACCUAUAAGACUGGGAUAACUUCGGGAAACCGGAGCUAAUACCGGAUAAUAUAUUGAACCGCAUGGUUCAAUAGUGAAAGACGGUUUUGCUGUCACUUAUAGAUGGAUCCGCGCCGCAUUAGCUAGUUGGUAAGGUAACGGCUUACCAAGGCAACGAUGCGUAGCCGACCUGAGAGGGUGAUCGGCCACACUGGAACUGAGACGCGGUCCAGACUCCUACGGGAGGCAGCAGUAGGGAAUCUUCCGCAAUGGGCGAAAGCCUGACGGAGCAACGCCGCGUGAGUGAUGAAGGUCUUCGGAUCGUAAAACUCUGUUAUUAGGGAAGAACAAAUGUGUAAGUAACUAUGCACGUCUUGACGGUACCUAAUCAGAAAGCCACGGCUAACUACGUG